rnacentral:lncRNA from 1 species
AAAAAUUAAUUAAAUAAAUAAAUAAAUAAAUAAAAUAUAAUAGAAAAAUCUUGGACUUGGACCUCUCUCAUUUGAGCCCACAAAACCAUGAAAAUCAGGUUAUAAAAGAGGGAGAACAGACAGAAAAAGGAAGAGAAGCAAAGCACUCUGAGGUUUCCUUGGAACAAAACCCUGGACAAAACCUGAAGAGAAACCUAGACAGAGAGAGUGAGAAUUAAUCUGCAGCAACCUCCAGGCAACUCUGAAAGG